AUUGAACGCUGGCGGCAGGCCUAACACAUGCAAGUCGAGCGGAUGAAGGGAGCUUGCUCCUGGAUUCAGCGGCGGACGGGUGAGUAAUGCCUAGGAAUCUGCCUGGUAGUGGGGGAUAACGUCCGGAAACGGGCGCUAAUACCGCAUACGUCCUGAGGGAGAAAGUGGGGGAUCUUCGGACCUCACGCUAUCAGAUGAGCCUAGGUCGGAUUAGCUAGUUGGUGGGGUAAAGGCCUACCAAGGCGACGAUCCGUAACUGGUCUGAGAGGAUGAUCAGUCACACUGGAACUUGGACACGGUCCCGACUCCUACGGGAGGCAGCAGUGGGGAAUAUUGGACAAUGGGCGAAAGCCUGAUCCAGCCAUGCCGCGUGUGUGAAGAAGGUCUUCGGAUUGUAAAGCACUUUAAGUUGGGAGGAAGGGCAGUAAGUUAAUACCUUGCUGUUUUGACGUUACCAACAGAAUAAGCACCGGCUAACUUCGUG
rnacentral:rRNA from 1 species